UUUUUUUUUUUUUUUUUUUUUUUGGUUUUGUUUUCAUUCCGAAUCAACGAGUCCACUGCAGUAGGAACCAACGACGGAGGACCGCCUCCCAUUCCGGAUCAAAAGAAUGG
rnacentral:ribozyme from 14 species